rnacentral:rRNA from 1 species
AGGACGAACGCUGGCGGCAGGCUUAACACAUGCAAGUCGAACGCUCGUAGCAAUACGGGAGUGGCAGACGGGUGAGUAACGCGUGGGAACAUACCCUCCGGUUCGGAAUAGCUCAGGGAAACUUGGAUUAAUACCGGAUACGGCCGAGAGGCGAAAGAUUUAUCGCCGGAGGAUUGGCCCGCGUUCGAUUAGCUAGUUGGUGAGGUAACGGCUCACCAAGGCGAUGAUCGAUAGCUGGUCUGAGAGGAUGAUCAGCCACAUUGGGACUGAGACACGGCCCAAACUCCUACGGGAGGCAGCAGUGGGGAAUAUUGGACAAUGGGCGCAAGCCUGAUCCAGCCAUGCCGCGUGAGUGAUGACGGCCUUAGGGUUGUAAAGCUCUUUCGCUCGGGACGAUAAUGACGGUACCGAGAUAAGAGCCCGGCUAACUUCGCGCCAGCAGCCGC